UGGGGAAUAUUGGACAAUGGGCGCAAGCCUGAUCCAGCAAUGCCGCGUGUGUGAAGAAGGCCUUCGGGUUGUAAAGCACUUUUGUCAGGAGCGAAAUCUGCAUGCUUAAUACGUGUGCAGCCUGACGGUACCUGAGGAAUAAGCACCGGCUAACUUCGUGCCAGCAGCCGCGGUAAUACGAAGGGUGCAAGCGUUAAUCGGAAUUACUGGGCGUAAAGGGUGCGUAGGCGGUUCGUUAAGUCUGUCGUGAAAUCCCCGGGCUCAACCUGGGAAUGGCGAUGGAUACUGGCGAGCUAGAGUGUGUCAGAGGAUGGUGGAAUUCCCGGUGUAGCGGUGAAAUGCGUAGAGAUCGGGAGGAACAUCAGUGGCGAAGGCGGCCAUCUGGGACAACACUGACGCUGAAGCACGAAAGCGUGGGGAGCAAACA
rnacentral:rRNA from 1 species